CUACGGGACGCUGCAGUGAGGAAUAUUGCACAAUGGAGGAAACUCUGAUGCAGCAACGCCGCGUGGAGGAUGACGCAUUUCGGUGUGUAAACUCCUUUUAUAUGUCAAGAAAAUGACGGUAGCAUAUGAAUAAGCACCGGCUAACUCCGUGCCAGCAGCCGCGGUAAUACGGAGGGUGCAAGCGUUACUCGGAAUCACUGGGCGUAAAGGACGCGUAGGCGGGAUAUCAAGUCAGGUGUGAAAUCCUACAGCUUAACUGUAGAACUGCACUUGAAACUGGUAACCUAGAGUAUGGGAGGGGGAGAUGGAAUUAGUAGUGUAGGGGUAAAAUCCGUAGAUAUCACUAGGAAUACCUAAAGCGAAGGCGAUCUCCUGGAACAUAACUGACGCUAAGGCGUGAAAGCGUGGGGAGCAAACAGGAUUAGAUACCCGGGUAGUC
rnacentral:rRNA from 1 species